ACGUAGGAGGCGAGCGUUAUCCGGAGUUACUGGGCGUAAAGCGCAUGUAGGCGGUUGGAUAAGUUGCGUGUGAAAGCUCCUGGCUAAACUAGGAGAGGACAGGCAAGACUGUUCGGGCUAGAGGGUGGUAGAGGGGCACAGAAUUCGGGGUGUAGCGGUGAAAUGUGUAGAGAUCCCGAGGAAUACCAGUGGUGAAGACGGUGCCCUGGGCCAUACCUGACGCUGAGAUGCGAAAGCGUGGGGAGCGAACGGG
rnacentral:rRNA from 1 species